rnacentral:lncRNA from 1 species
CAAAAAGUCCAAUUAUAGCCAAAGCCCAAUGGUUGGACCUUCCAGGGCAAGGAAAGCCAGAGGCGCAGAACAUUCUCCAGAGGCUACUGUGGGGGCCAAGACUCCAACUGGCUAUCUGGACACCUGGACUUGAAUCCCAGUUCGGCCACCCAAGAGAGAAGCCAGCUUCCGUGCCCUGCAUGGGCAUUGUCUGCCAUCUGCCCUCCAGCAGCUCUGGGCCUCGGCCAGCUCCCGGACCAGGCAUUUCCCUCCAGCAGGCAGCCUGAGGCCACAGAGACCUCUGCCCUUCACCCACCCCCACCCGGAGCUGCCGGAGGCUGCUAAGGACCUGCAAGCUGUGCCACCUCAUGCACAGUUUCCAGCAAACCGGAAAAACCUAACACGAGGAAAAAGACAACAGACACCAACCCCAAGAAGAUGCAGAUGUUGGAAUUCUCAGAGAGAGGCUUUAAAGCAGCCAUUAUAACCAGGCUCCGAGAAGUAACAACAAACACACUUGAAGUGAAUAGAAAGAGAAUCUCAGCAGAGAAAUACUAAAAAGGACCAAAUGGAAACUUUAGAACUGAAAAAUACAAUAACCAAAAUGAAAAAUUCACUGGAUGGGCACAAUACCAGAAUGGG